rnacentral:rRNA from 1 species
GACGAACGCUGGCGGCGUGCUUAACACAUGCAAGUCGAGCGGUAAGGCCCUUCGGGGUACGACGAGCGGCGAACGGGUGAGUAACACGUGGGUGACCUGCCCUCCAGCUCUGGGAGUAAGCCCGGGAAACCGUGGGUCGUAAUACCGGAUAUGACUCCAUGACGCAUGUUGUGGGGUGGGAAAGCCUUGUGCGGCUGAGGAUGGGCCCGCGGCCUAUCAGCUUGUUGGUGGGGUGAUGGCCACCAAGGCGACGAUCGGUAGCUGGUCUGAGAGGACGAUCAGCCACACUGGGAGUUGAGAACGG